rnacentral:rRNA from 1 species
GGGUUGUGAGGUUAAGCGACUAAGCGUACACGGUGGAUGCCCUGGCAGUCAGAGGCGAUGAAGGACGUGCUAAUCUGCGAUAAGCGUCGGUAAGGUGAUAUGAACCGUUAUAACCGGCGAUUUCCGAAUGGGGAAACCCAGUGUGAUUCGUCACACUAUCAUUAACUGAAUCCAUAGGUUAAUGAGGCGAACCGGGGGAACUGAAACAUCUAAGUACCCCGAGGAAAAGAAAUCAACCGAGAUUCCCCCAGUAGCGGCGAGCGAACGGGGAGCAGCCCAGAGCCUGAAUCAGUGUGUGUGUUAGUGGAAGCGUCUGGAAAGGCGCGCGAUACAGGGUGACAGCCCCGUACACAAAAAUGCACAUACUGUGAGCUCGAUGAGUAGGGCGGGACACGUGAUAUCCUGUCUGAAUAUGGGGGGACCAUCCUCCAAGGCUAAAUACUCCUGACUGACCGAUAGUGAACCAGUACCGUGAGGGAAAGGCGAAAAGAACCCCGGCGAGGGGAGUGAAAAAGAACCUGAAACCGUGUACGUACAAGCAGUGGGAGCACGCUUAGGCGUGUGACUGCGUACCUUUUGUAUAAUGGGUCAGCGACUUAUAUUCUGUAGCAAGGUUAACCGAAUAGGGGAGCCGAAGGGAAACCGAGUCUUAACUGGGCGUUAAGUUGCAGGGUAUAGACCCGAAACCCGGUGAUCUAGCCAUGGGCAGGUUGAAGGUUGGGUAACACUAACUGGAGGACCGAACCGACUAAUGUUGAAAAAUUAGCGGAUGACUUGUGGCUGGGGGUGAAAGGCCAAUCAAACCGGGAGAUAGCUGGUUCUCCCCGAAAGCUAUUUAGGUAGCGCCUCGUGAAUUCAUCUCCGGGGGUAGAGCACUGUUUCGGCAAGGGGGUCAUCCCGA